GCGCGCUUAGCUCAAUUGGUAGAGCAUCCCCUUGACGUGGGGAGGGUUGUAGGUUCAAGUCCUGCAGCGCGCACUA
rnacentral:tRNA from 3 species